rnacentral:rRNA from 1 species
UACGGGGGGGGCAAGCGUUGUUCGGAAUUACUGGGCGUAAAGGGCUCGUAGGCGGUCAACUAAGUCAGACGUGAAAUCCCCAGGCUCAACCUGGGAACUGCGUCUGAUACUGGAUGGCUUGAAUCCGGGAGAGGGAUGCAGAAUUCCAGGUGUAGCGGUGAAAUGCGUAGAUAUCCGGAGGAAUACCGGUGGCAAAGGCGGCAUCCUGGGCCGGCAUUGACGCUGAGGAGCGAAAGCCAGGGGAGCGAACGGG